rnacentral:rRNA from 1 species
GGCUCAGGAUGAAUGCUGGCGGCGUGCUUAACACAUGCAAGUCGAACGGGCUCAUAUUGAAACCUAGUGAUUUAUGAGUUAGUGGCGGACGGGUGAGUAACGCGUGGAAAACCUGCCGUAUACUGGGGGAUAACACUUAGAAAUAGGUGCUAAUACCGCAUAAGCGCACAGCUUCGCAUGAAGUGGUGUGAAAAACUCCGGUGGUAUACGAUGGUUCCGCGUCUGAUUAGCUUGUUGGCGGGGUAAUGGCUCACCAAGGCGACGAUCAGUAGCCGGCCUGAGAGGGUGAACGGCCACAUUGGGACUGAGACACGGCCCAAACUCCUACGGGAGGCAGCAGUGGGGAAUAUUGCACAAUGGGGGAAACCCUGAUGCAGCGACGCCGCGUGAGUGAAGAAGUAUUUCGGUAUGUAAAGCUCUAUCAGCAGGGAAGAAAUAGCGACCUUUGGGUCGCCAGACGGUACCUGAUUAAGAAGCCCCGGCUAACUACGUGCCAGCAGCCGCGGU